CCCUAAAUCUUGAUACUACAUCCUACUGAGGUAUCCGCCCGAGAACUACGAGCACAAACGCUUAAAACUCUAAGGACUUGGCGGUGUCCCAAACCCACCUAGAGGAGCCUGUUCUAUAACCGAUACCCCACGCUACACCCAACCGUCUCUAGCCCCAAAUCAGCCUACAUACCGCCGUCGCCAGCUCACCUCCCCUGAGAGAGCAACAGUGAGCAUAAUAGUCCCACCCUACUAACAAGACAGGUCAAGGUAUAGCUUAUGAGCCGGAAGCAAUGGGCUACAUUUUCUAACACUAGAAAACACGAAAAGGGGCAUGAAACUACCCCUAGAAGGCGGAUUUAGCAGUAAAGAAAGACAAUAAAGCUCUC
rnacentral:rRNA from 1 species